rnacentral:tRNA from 1 species
GCCGCGGUGGCGAAACGGUAGACGCGUACGGCUUAGGACCGUAUGCCGAAAGGCUUGGGGGUUCAAGUCCCUCCCGCGGCA